GCAGCUUUAUGCUCUUUCUUACCCCAAAUGUUUUUUAUAUGCAGUUUGUUCUACAAGAGAAAAAAAUGCAUGUUUAAAUUAAUUGGAGAAAGAAAGAGAAAGCUGAUGAAUAAGGGAGAGAGGAAAAAAAAGAGCGGGAUUCAGAAACAACAGACGAACAAGUCCCUACUGUCACUCUCUUAUCACAGCGCUUUCUGGCUGUCAGCGGUCCAGACUCAGUGCUGUUGCCGCCUCGGUACUGUCCAGCACACACAGUGUUCCUGCGAUCACCUGAUAGUCUCAUGUUGUUGUGUGAAUUUAGUUCACCGCUAUUCUUAGAACCUGGUUUGACUUGGAGAGGAGAAGCAAGAGAGGAAUAGAGAGAGGGGAGAGGGCUGGGGAAAGACUGGCAGACUCGCAAUGAUGCCCAGGUAGGAGUCGGUAAUGUUUAACCUGGCCUUUAUGCAUCCAAGUGGGCACGGUGGUGUUCGUUAAAGGAGGUUUGUGUACAAUGCUUGUGCUGUUACCCUUAAGUUUGUUUUCUGCCCGAGUGUUGGGAGCUACAAUGUGCCAGCUGGCUGUUACAAGCAAGACCGUAAGAAAGGCAGUCGCUUUUUAACUGUCAGCCUCAGUGGCAUUGAACAAGAUUGAUUCUAUCUGUUGAGGUCAAGUUACAUAAUAUAGAUUACUGAGUUUGUGGUGAAGCAUGCCUGUUGGUUUUGGGUGAGGGGAAAAAACACUGCUCAUGUAUUUGGGUGGAGUUUCUGUUUUAUAUCUAUGUAAUGUCAAAUUGAUAACUGUUGCCACAAAAGAAGGUGAUUCACUCAUUUUACAUCCUGAUUGUUUCCAUCUUGUUUUGUUUAGUUUUCUUUGUUGUUGUUUUUUUUAAUGAAACAUGCAGAAAACAUUCAUGGGUGGAAUGUUUUUUGGGGAUUUUUUUUUUCUAUCAACAGGUUGCUCAAGGAAAUGAAACCUUUUUACACCUGUGGUGCUCAGAAUUUGAGUCACUUUUGGUUCAGACAAUUGCGGUCACAGCAGUACAAGCAUGUAACAGUCAUGAAGUCAUGUGCUGCUUUUAUGAAUGACUCCCCUCUCUCCUCUGUCAGUGCUGUGACUGUCACAAGCUCACUGAUGGGGUACUUCCUCCUUUGCACUAAUUUUCCUUGUCUUUCGCUCAGUGUUGGGUUUUGUUUUGUUUUUUUGUUUGUUGUUGUUUUUUUUCUUUGUCAGAUAUCUAUCUUUAUCUCUUUAGAUUUCUGGAUUUUUCUAGGUCUGUUUUCUUAUUGUGAUCUGUUUGGCUUUUGUUCUUUGUCUUUCAUGCCUGCUCUUAUUGUUAAGUGCAUCUUUGGUCUUUAGCUGUUUCUUAUCUCCUCUUUUGAGUUUAUUCUUUGUUUUUGUUUUUUGCCGGUGCUUAUAAAAAGAUUUGGCCUUUUUACAUCUUUUUUCUUUCUGUCCUAUCUUUAUUUUAUUUUUUUCUUUGCUUCUCUUGUCUUCUUCACUGUUAUUCUUAAAACAAAGGGAGCACUGAGCCUGGCGUCAAAUUAUGCAGAUUCAUUCUGGGUUGAUCUGUAAACAGCACGUCAUCUUAUUUUGUAAAUGUCGUACCCAUGUUAUUUAAUUGCUGUCAUUUCUUCCUUGUUAGCUGUGUUAGCUAUUUAAGCUCUGGAAAGAUAUCCGUUUGUUAAAGCAGUUUGUGAGAGUUGAAACUUCACAUCUUAGAUAUUACUCUUAGUGCCUCUUACGUAGUGGUGUCAACCAAAUUGAUCUAAAUUAUAAACUGUUGUAAUAUUAAUAAAUUAACCACACAUGAAAAGCAGUGAUCCAAAGACAUAUGUGAUACUUAGAUGAGCUAAAUAUUGAUACUAUGCAAUUUGAGGCCAUUAUGUAGGCCAUAGAGGAAUUAUGCCACCAGUUUGGCACGUAGACUGAACAAAUAAUUGUUUUUUUCCCCCUUGGAUAAAAUUGGAGGUGCAGCUAUUCAUUUAUUCUAGUAUUCAAGUAUCCUAUCGAUUACUUGAUUGAUUGAUGGAACAAUCAGAUAAGAAGUACUUUUGUC
ensembl:lncRNA